UGGCUUAGAAGGUAAAGCAUCUGCCUGUGAUGCAGGAGACCCAGGUUUGAUCCCUGG
rnacentral:tRNA from 1 species